UUAAUUUGAUCAUCCGUUUUC
rnacentral:piRNA from 1 species